rnacentral:lncRNA from 1 species
AGAUGUGUGGGGGCGCCGAGUAACCCAUAAAAUCAACGCCAUGUGAGUUGCCAGCAAUACCCUGUUCUCCAGUCCAGCAGUGAUUAUAAGCGGUGGGUAGGGGGCGCUAUCCCACUGGACUGGAGAUGUUCGAGGCCAAACAUCGAGCGGUGGAGAAGAAGGAGUCAAGCACAGAGACGGAUGAGGGCCUGGGCAGCAGCAGUAAACACUUCGGCUCCGGGUCGCUGGGCUCCGGUUCGGGCGGGUCAGUUUACCUCUCCGACAGCCAGGACUGGGUGGUGUCUCCGAGCUGCUCCCCCGACGAGGGCCCGGCCCCCCACAGCGCCAUCUCCCCCAUGCUGGCAGAGGAGACCUUUCGCUACAUGAUCCUCAGCGCUGACCGAGUGGAGCAGAUGACCAAGACCUACAAUGACAUCGAAGUGGUCACUCACCUUCUGGCAGAGAGGGACAGAGAUUUGGAGUUGGCGGCUCGGAUCGGUCAGUCUCUUCUACAGAGGAAUCAUAUUCUGCAAGAACGCAACGAGGCCAUAGAGGAGCAGCUCGCACAAGCUCUAGACCAGGUCCAUCAGCUGCAGCAUGAGCUGGGGAAGAAGGAUGAGUUGUUGCGGAUGGUUGCGAGCGCGUCUGAGGAGAGCGAGACCGACUCCAGCGUCUCAACGCCGCUACGGCAGAACCAGCCUCUGGCAGCGAUCUCCACGGCAACGGCAGCUCUCAGCCAACUGGAACAUCUGCAGAACAAACUCCAGGAUCUGGAGGAGGAGAACCUGGCUUUAAGAUCUGAGGCAUGUCAAUUGAAGAGGGACACCGUAAGCUACGAGGAGAAGGAACAACAGCUGGUCAUCGACUGUGUCAAAGAGCUCCGAGAGUCCAACACGCAGAUGGUGACUUUGACAGAGGAACUGUCCAAAAAAAACGAAGAGCUUGUAAGACACCAAGAAGAAAUCGCCCAACUCCUGUCUCAAAUCGUAGAGCUGCAACACAGAGUCAAAGAGCUUGCGUUAGAGAAGGAAGAGCUAAGGAUCCACCUACAGGCCUCCAAAGACGCCCAGAGACAGCUGACAGCGGAGCUCAAUGAAGUGACGGAGAGGAACGCGGAGUGUGCGGAGAUGCUCCACGAGUCGCUGCAGGAAAUCAAAGAGCUCCGGAACAAAAACACACCGUUCUGUGGGAUGAGGCGGCACAUGUCCUACGGCCUGUACCCCAUGGACUCGUUGGCUGCAGAAAUCGAAGGCACCAUGAGAAGAGAGCUCAGUAUAGAUGAAGAAACUGCUUUCGAGGACCAGAGUUUUCCAGACCGUUCGCUCCUUAAACGCAGCAGCAUCAAACCGAGCCCCUUCAGCCGUUCCUCCCAUCCCCGGGUCCGGAUGCAGCUCUCUGGUGAUGACCUCGCAGCCUUUCCCCUCCAAUCAGGGGUACGUGCUCUUAUACCAUUAAAAAAAAACCAGCACAAGCAAGAUUUUAAUACCCUGAUGUGUAUUUUUUGCAGAGAUGAAGUGAAAAUCGGGCAGCCUGGUUGUCCCGGUGGGAACGAUCUGACCAAAGCGCUGCACAGGCUGUCUUUGAGGAGGCAGAACUUCCUGUGCGAGAGGCAGUUCUUUCAGGCCGAGCGGGAUAAGAAGCUCCAGGCGCAGACGGCAGAGGGCGACGGAGAGGCGAGCGGCUGCGGUUCACCGAUGGGCAGCGUCAUGUCGUCUUACUCAAACCUCUCGGAGCUCUCCUACGGGUCCAGCGUGUUCAAGACCUUCCUCCCUGAGAAACUGCAGAUAGUCAAGCCCAUGGAAGGCUCAUUGACGCUCCACCACUGGCAGCAGCUCGCACAGCCCCACCUGGCGUCCAUCUUGGAUCCCCAUCCCGGAGUGGUCACCAAGGGUUUCCGUCCUCUGGCCCAGGACGCGGCGCACCAGCUCUCCGACAUGGAGGAGGAGGAAAACGUUGGAGAAAUGUUUGAUAAAUGUCUUUUCUCCGCAGUGCAAAACCCUGGAAAGUGUCAGAGCUCCACUUUCUCCACCUACACCUUCACCACCUGUCGCAUCCUGCACCCGAGUGACAUCACACAAGUCACGGCGAGGUAA